CCCUUAGAUGUUCUGGGCCGCACGCGCGCUACACUGACGAAUGCAACGAGCUUAUAACCUUGGCCGAAAGGUUUGGGUAAUCUCCAAAUUUCGUCGUGAUGGGGAUAGAUUAUUGCAAUUAUUAAUCUUCAACGAGGAAUGCCUAGUAAGCGCAAGUCAUCAGCUUGCGUUGAUUACGUCCCUGCCCUUUGUACACACCGCCCGUCGCUCCUACCGAUUGAAUGGUCCGGUGAAGCGUUCGGACCGUGGCCUUUGGACGGUUCGCCGUCUGUUGGCUGCGGGAAGUUCGUUAAACCUUNUNAUUUAGNGGAAGGAGAANUCGUANCA
rnacentral:rRNA from 1 species